CAGUCGAGGGGUAUAGGUUUUCGGACCUAGAGACCGGCGCACGGGUGCGUAACGCGUAUGCAAUCUACCUUUUACAGAGGGAUAGCCCAGAGAAAUUUGGAUUAAUACCUCAUAGCAUUAUGACUCGGCAUCGAGAUGUAAUUAAAGUCACAACGGUAAAAGAUGAGCAUGCGUCCCAUUAGCUUGUUGGUAAGGUAACGGCUUACCAAGGCAACGAUGGGUAGGGGUCCUGAGAGGGAGAUCCCCCACACUGGUACUGAGACACGGACCAGACUCCUACGGGAGGCAGCAGUGAGGAAUAUUGGUCAAUGGGCGCAAGCCUGAACCAGCCAUGCCGCGUGCAGGAUGACGGUCCUAUGGAUUGUAAACUGCUUUUGUACAGGAAGAAACAGUUC
rnacentral:rRNA from 1 species